rnacentral:rRNA from 1 species
CCUACGGGAGGCUGCAGUGGGGAAUAUUGGACAAUGGGGGGAACCCUGAUCCAGCCAUGCCGCGUGUGUGAAGAAGGCCCUCGGGUUGUAAAGCACUUUCAGUGAGGAAGAACGCCUGGUGGUUAAUACCCAUCAGGAAAGACAUCACUCACAGAAGAAGCACCGGCUAACUCCGUGCCAGCAGCCGCGGUAAUACGGAGGGUGCGAGCGUUAAUCGGAAUUACUGGGCGUAAAGCGCGCGUAGGUGGCUUGAUAAGCCGGUUGUGAAAGCCCCGGGCUCAACCUGGGAACGGCAUCCGGAACUGUCAAGCUAGAGUGCAGGAGAGGAAGGUAGAAUUCCCGGUGUAGCGGUGAAAUGCGUAGAGAUCGGGAGGAAUACCAGUGGCGAAGGCGGCAUUCUGGACUGACACUGACACUGAGGUGCGAAAGCGUGGGUAGCAAACAGGAUUAGAUACCCGAGUAGUC